GCUCAGGAUGAACGCUAGCUACAGGCUUAACACAUGCAAGUCGAGGGGUAGCAGGGUAGCAAUACCGCUGACGACCGGCGCACGGGUGAGUAACACGUAUCCAACCUUCCCAUAACUCGGGGAUAGCCUUUCGGAAGAAAGAUUAAUACCCGAUAGUACUUAUAUAAGGCAUCUUAAAUAAGUUAAAGAUUUAUUGGUUAUGGAUGGGGAUGCGUUCCAUUAGAUAGUUGGUGAGGUAACGGCUCACCAAGUCUUCGAUGGAUAGGGGUUCUGAGAGGAAGGUCCCCCACAUUGGUACUGAGACACGGACCAAACUCCUACGGGAGGCAGCAGUGAGGAAUAUUGGUCAAUGGGCGAGAGCCUGAACCAGCCAA
rnacentral:rRNA from 1 species